UCAGCGACCAAGCCCCCCAGGUACCCCUCUGCACGCACUUCCGAAGCCUUGCUCAACCGCUUUCCCAAGUGAACAGGUGAGCAGGACUCUCUGAUGUCGCGGAGAAGGGGUGGUGGGUGGGGCUCUGCUCUCAGCAGGUACCUGGGCACCGAGCAGAGAAUCGAGGUGCUCUACUUGGAAAGAACAGGAGAGACUUUGUUUCCUCUUUGCCUUCGCAGGAUAAUUGGCCCACUUUCCCCUUGCACCUGGGUGAACUUGGUUACACACCCUACAGAAACGCUUCCCUGGCUGUCCUGUCCUCACCGGGGGACUUCCUAGCAGACCAUGUGGCACUCAUAGGUGCACGCAGCAGGAGCAGGUCGGCAUACGAGCGUGUCAUGGUCCCUCUGAUGCCACAUUCUACACCUGGAGAUCACAUGAUGUCACUGAGGUCAUCCCAGGGCAGGAACGGCGGAGAGAGAACAUUUCUAAGUCCCGGGUCACCGCUGGCUCCACUCUACACACUGAGCCAAAAAGCUAUGGCCACAAUGUGUCUAGAUUCAGAUAGAGAUGACAGUGGGCUCCUGGGGCGGGGAAGGGGGUGGGGAGCUGAGCCCCAGAGGCAAAAAUAGGUCUGCUUUUCUGAUGCAACUGGAAACUCUUCAGUCACUCAGAUUAUGUUCCUAAUAUGUAUCUUCUCAUUACCUGCCUCCACUGCUGACUUGUUUUGGUGAGGACAAAUUCAGAAGGCCAAAACUCCGCAGGAAACAUCACGAGCCAGAGAAGGAUACACCGUGUGCCGUGUUAAUGGCGUUUAGCGCCAUUUCCCCUGGUAUCAUCACGGAGUACAGACGGCUAUUAUCAUCGUGUUUCCAUUUUCCUACAAGACGUAGUUUUGGUAAGAGAAAACAGGCCAACAGUUUAUUUAGUAAGCAAUAAAAAUACAUUCUUAAGG